UGCCUUUCAAUUCAUGGAAAGAGAGCGAAAUCUCUAAAAAACUGUGAAAACCAAAGGCAGUUUAGAGAGAGAAAGCUAGAGAGAGAGACUGCUGAGGGUUUUCUGCUUGUUCUGGUGAUUUAGACGCCCUGCAGCGCCUGAGCGACAGAAGGCGAAGAACCCUAAUUGGCGAGGGGGAUACGUAUAAUUUGAGAAGUUGCUCAUAGGAAUCGAGGGUGAGUUUUUUCAUUGAUGCUCUUCGGCGGUGGAGCUGAUGGUUGGAAAUGGAUCGUGUUCGCGGAGGCUAGCACCGGCGGCGGCGGCGGUGGUGGGGGGAGAAGCGGUUCGCUCAUCGGCGGCGGCGUCGGUGGCGGAAGCGGCUUCUGGUCUUGGACUGCUUCCUCCAAUGUCGGCUUAGCCGUCGCCGUCACGGCCAUGGCCGGUAUCGCCUUGGCCGCCACAGUCGUCUACUCUCGUAGGGGCAGUCUUAAAUCACCUUGGUCCCGUAGGAGAAAAAAACACGCCCUUCUACCAAAACAAUGGAAAAGUUUAUUUACACCGGAUGGGAAACUCACUGAUGGUGGUCUCAAAUUUUUGAAGAAAGUUCGCAGUGGAGGUGUUGAUCCAAGUAUUCGAGCUGAAGUGUGGCCAUUUCUUCUUGGAAUCUAUGAUGUGAACAGUUCCAAGGAAGAAAGAGAGACUGUAAAAAACCAGAAAAGAAAAGAAUAUGAAAACUUGCGGAGACAGUGUCGCAGAAUUUUAACACAAAGUGAUAAGAGCUCGAAGUUGAAGGAAACUUCUGGUAACAGUAGCACUGAGAGCAGCGGGGAUUUCAGUCAAGUUUUAGAUUGCUUCUGACCAAGGGGAUGUUACAAGUGCCAGGAGGUACAUUUCAACUGAGGGAGGAGACCAAUUACCCAAGGAUUCAGAUAACCCUGUAGGCAAUCAAGCUGUUCAGACUUCUGAAUCACUUGAAGGAGAUGGAGAGAAAAGUGGAGUCACCUGUGAUGAUCCUUAUGCUGCCGAUACGGAAUCAACUGAUUCUGAUUCCUCUGAAGAAACUGAUAUCACUCGACCAUUACUAUCCACUGAUGUUACUGAAGAAAACUAUGUUGAUGACAAGCCUAAGGAGAGCUCCUGUCUCUCCAAUAUUGAAAACAAGCCCAAAGUCCACUCAGCAGAAGAUUUUGCCACAUGGCAGAGGAUCAUCCGCCUUGAUGCCGUUCGCGCAAAUGAUGAAUGGAUUAUUUACUCACCAUCACAGGCUGAUGCAUCAGAGAUGAAGGCACAAAGACUAGCUGAAAGUGUCGGGUUAAAGGAUUAUGAUCACUUGGAGCCAUGCAGGAUUUUUCAUGCCUCUCGCCUGGUUGGAAUCCUGGAAGCCUAUGCUCUGUAUGAUCCUGAGAUUGGGUACUGCCAGGGGAUGAGUGAUCUACUCUCUCCUAUUAUCUCAGUGCUGGAAGAGGACCAUGAAGCCUUCGGGUGCUUUGUGGGUUUUAUGAAAAAGGCACGGCAUAAUUUCCGACUGGAUGAGGCAGGAAUCCGGAGGCAACUUGGCCUUGUUUCGAAGAUUAUCAAGUGCAAAGAUGUUCCUCUUUACAGACACCUGGAGAAGCUUCAAGCGGAGGAUUGCUUUUUUGUGUACAGAAUGGUGGUGGUUCUCUUCAGGAGAGAGUUGAGCUUUGAGGAUACGCUUUGCCUCUGGGAGGUAAUGUGGGCAGAUCAGGCUGCAAUCAGGGCAGGUAUUGCCAAGUCUGCUUGGGGAAGGAUUAGGCAGAGAGCCCCUCCUACCGAUGAUCUCUUGCUCUAUGCAAUAGCGGCUUCUGUGCUACAAAGAAGGAAGACUAUCAUAGAGAAGUACAGCAGCAUGGAAGAGAUCAUGAGGGAGUGCAACAGCAUGACGGGCCGUCUGGAUGUGUGGAAGCUUUUAGAUGAUGCCCAUGACUUGGUGGUGACCCUUCAUGACAAGAUUUAGAAACACCCAAUGCUAAUGCUAGGCUUUGAUCUUUUGCUCUCUCGCCCACCCUCCGAUUCUUGUUUUCCUUUUUUUUUCCUUUUUCCUUUUUUUUUGUGUUGUUGUUGCACCUGGUGGGGAUCCCUUUGAAAGCAAGGGAUCUUUGGGAUGAGUUUCGCACUUGCUUGAAACAAGCAUCUGAUAGGCAAAUUCUGUAUUGGAGUAAAUUAUGGGAUUUAUAUAUAUAUAUAAAAUGUAUUGCUCGCACUCUGUUGCCCUUCAGAGUGACUGGCAGCAAUUCAGAAAUUAGUAAAUUCAGAUCGACAACCUUACUUUGAUUUA